UAUAGCAGUAUUACCCGCAUGCCUCAUCCCCCGACCCUCCCCACCCACCCACACAUCACCACCCCAACACCCAUCCACUCCUUCCAGCACGAAGGAGACUAAUCCCCAUAUAUAUAUAUACAUAUAUAUAUAUAUAUAUGUAUAUAUCGCUUCUCUCUUACAGUCUGAACGUACCUAUUCUCCGUGCCUGCCGCGGUGUCUGAGUCCCUCGGUGUGACAUCUCCGCGUCUCUAUCCGGUGUCUGGGCGCACUCGUCGGCGCUCUAGACUUUUCGUAGACAGGCGCAUCCAAUCCACGCGUACGCCACACACACACAGGCACACGCACGUGCGCACGCACACCGGGGGCACAGAGACCGACAAAAAAAACACGCCUACAGACGGAAGCGCAGACACGCCCUACACCGACACAAAGACGCACCCGCUCGGCCUCUAAACAGUACAAUACAGCAUAACCCCCACCCCACACACACAUAUAUACACACACAGACAGAUACAUAUCGGUACAACACCGCACGUGUAUAUACGUAUAUAUAUAUAUAUAUGCAUGUAUGUAUAGAUACAUAUAUACCUAUAUGCGUGUGUGUGUGUGUGUCUGAACGUGGUUUGUCUUGUUUUUGUAUAUCUCUUUCCCUCUCUCUCUCGCUGGUUUGCGUCGCGCACCUACGCACAACGUCACCGAAAACCGCGAUCUGGCUUCUUACACACACACAGAGACCUCUGCCUCACCUUCAUCGGCCCUCGCCGUGAUUAUCUGUCGCGUACCCUCCUCCUCCUUUCUCUUGCGCUUCACAGAUCCACGUGAGGACAUCAAGUUAUCUAUUAUAGACUUCUAGGUCCAGUGCUGGAAGGUUCGAGCAAAGGCCAACCGCGAGAACCGUAUCGUCAGACACGCGCGCAGGCGCACAUACAACCACAGACCCCCACAAGGGGUAGUGGAAGUCCGCUUAAUUGGUGUCUUCGCGUUGCUCACGGGGCGCAUCUUCUGUGUGGUUAUCCUGUUGCGCUUCUCCCGUACUCACAGAGAACGGAAAAAUAGUGAGGGGGUCGCGCGUCAGCGUAGGCUGUCCUCGUCCGUGCUGCCUCGCGUAGUCUGCCUUGUGUGUGAGGGUUUCUACAUCGGCUUUCGCCUCGCCGUCUCUCGCGUCGAUCGAUCUUCUCCACACGACGCCCACUAGCACACGGCCCUGCUUGCUUUCCCCUGCAAUAGGGGAGGUGCGGGCGAAGAGGCCUCCUUUUCAUGUUUUCUUUUUUCUUCCGUCUCGCGCAUCGUUUCGACUCGUGAUUCCUGUUGAUUUCCCUUGUUGUUGUUUGCUUGUUUGUGUUGGUUGCUCGCCGCGCUUGUCUGCCUGCCUGCCUGCCUGUGUGUUGCACAUCAUUGUCUCCCUUCCCUCGACCCCCCUCGCAGCCUCCGUCAUCGUUGUAUUGCUCCCCCAUCACUCGCUUCCGUCUACCGACUCCCCUUCUGCCGUGGAUUUCUUCGUUUUUUUUUGUUGUGUUCGUUUUGGACUUUGCGUUUGUGUGUGUGUGUGUGUGUGUGUGUGUGUGUGUGUGUGUGUGUGUUUCAGUGAUUACCCGCUUCAUCAGCCCCCCCCCCUCCCUCCCUCCCUCCCUCCCUCCGAUCUUUGCCUUCUUUACUAGAUCAUCGCCCCCACCCCUCCCCCCUCCUCCUCCUCCCGCCGUGUGCACGCGUGUUGGCGCCGGCCUUUGUCUGUCUGUGUGCGGACUUGUGCUGCUGCAUCCCCUUUCUCUUCCCUUUCGUUCUCCCCUUCGCUUCCACACCCGUCCUCCCCCCCCUCUGCUGCUGCUGCUGCUGCUGCUGCUGCUGCUGCUGCUUCGCAUUGUACCGUUUGAGCUGCCGGUUGGUUGGCUCGGUUGGCCUUCCUCUCUCCUGGAGUACGACGGUGUAGGCGUGCGUGUGGGCCUUCCCCUCCCUGUUCUCUUGCCUUCCCGCCACCACCACCACCAUCACCCCUCAUCCUCCCGGCGCUGUCAUCUCUCGCCUCCUCUUGUUGUUGUCGACUCUUCCCUCUUGUUUUGUUUGUUUUGGGGGAAGGAGGUGGGCGCCUUCGCGGAAGAAACGACGCCUUUGCAUCGACGCGUGUGUGUGUGUGUGCGUGUGUGUAGUGUGUCUGAAGAGGCUCCUCUCCCUCGUACCACGCGUAAUGAAGCGCAACGGGCACGCAGCCUCAUCGGCACCGCGCAGCUUCGACGACCUGAAGCCCACUCGGUCAGCCGCAAGCAAGCACAGGGGCAGCUCCGUCACUGUCUGCGGCAAUGAGGCUUCUCCUACGCUUCCCCUCGUCCUGGACACCGAUGGCAGCAGAGGCGACAACCUCUUACACGACUCGGAUCAGACACCAUGUGACGCCGCGGCGGCCGGCUCCUCCAUUGUAGCGAACAACACACUACGUGUAACCAAGAACAGCCCAACAUAUCCCAGAUGUGAACAGCAGCCGCUUUUACUGCCACACGGACGAAGCAGAGGAAACUCUGGCGUGUCUGGCAAGUCGCAAGAGCCCUCCAUCUGCUUUUUCGAAUCCCCAGUCAGCGUUGGCGAUGACGCCCAGCGGACCCUGCAGCACCACACCACCGCGAGCGAUAAUGACGACGCCCGGUACCCCCAAGCGGAACUCUCCGCGUCAUCGCCGCACAGCAACACUGGCAUACCCGCGUCUGUCUUACCACCCUCAGCCGCUGCCGUCGCCGCCGGCGCCAGAGCCGCUGGCGCAAUGGUGCCGUUCCUGUUCUCGCUGAAGCUGCCACCCGCCACGGUCACGUACCUCGGCGUCGGGCGGGCGAGUGGCGCUGGCGUGGGCCAGUCCUGCGAUAGCCUCAGCGAAUCCGUGAACUCGGCGUGCGGCGGCUCCCUAUUGCAUGGCCGCAAUCGAAUCAUUGGCACAGGGGAGGCCGCCGCCGGCUCUGGGCCCAGCUCUCCCUUGAGAGCCGAGGAGACGACAGGGGCUGGCGUCGAAAGCGAGCACCACAGCCAUCAUCGCCGUCUUCAGCGCGGCCUAGGUGAAGCGAACGCGAAUGCAACCGCGGCAACGCCCUUUCUGCGCGAUGUGGAGCCUCUGCUGGCAUCUGAGGCGUGCACGCGCAACCGCCUACCCUCUGGCACACAUAUUCGUCGGCGCCCGCGCUCCGUCGUGCGGCAGCACACCGGUGCAGCGGGGACUGGCUCCGUCAGCAACGGUACCCCGUCAGCGAUGCUGUUGGGAGACGUCGAAUCAGCGUCCUCCACGUACGGGCCACUGGAUGGCUCCGUCAGCGGCAGCAACGCACUCGCAACGCCGUACAUGCGCCAGCGCGGAGCGACAGCCGCUUUUUUAGGCGGAAGUGCGAGCCGCGGUGGCGCAGGCAACCGCGUCGGCACUAGCCGGACACGCGACGUCUUGCCGCAAGGCAGUCGCUUACGCACUGUCAUUGGUGGGGCAGUGGCAGCAGGCCACCGGCGCCGCGCAGAUCCGUCGCCAGCGCCUUCACGCCCGCCGCGGUCGCGGAGGACACGCGCAGGGGCCUCCCCAAGUACCUUUGACGGUAGCCCAAGCAGCGCUGCGGUGGGCGGGCCGACUUUCUCACCCUCCUCCCCGACGCAGCUCAGUUUGCGUGCCGGUCGCCAGCCUGGCAUUGUCCUCCAGGCGCCGAAGCGGAUGCUCUCCGAGCAGUCCUCCCCAGGAGCCUCGUCGCCGCUUAACUUCAGCCUUGAGCGCGGCUCUUUCUUCAUCGUAGGUGACAAGGACAGCCUUGCCGCCUCCUCCAACACCGCGGCGAACCACCAGCACCCCAUCACCAGCAGCUACACGAGUAACCGUAGCGAUCGCAGUGGUGCGCACAGCGCAGGAACGCAUGUAGCAGCAGCUAGCACGAAGCCUCCUUCAGGGCGGCGGCAAGGUUCGCUGGCGCGCGUGCUCGCGCCGGUGCAGCACAGCGCGAGUGUUAGUCACGUGGAAGAGCACGGUGCAUCAUCACCACUGCAAGACUACGCGAAGCUGGCCACCACGUACAUGAAGCUCUGUGCGGAGGUGGGCGAUGAGCCAAACAUGGACUGGGUCGCCGGUCUGUCCCUCAUGAAGGGAGGAGAGCGCCAGCACGAUGUGCUGUCGCCGCCCACGACGCUUGGCACCGCCGACGCGAAGGAGUGCAGCACCAGCCACUCCCAGAGAGUGCCGAGCGCUCUCAACGGCAGCCUGGCGGUGUCAAGGCAUUUUCUGCGCUCUGGUCCUCAGCAGCAACAGCAGCCCACCCCUCGUGGUGGGGUGCGACCACGCAUCGCCACAGGGGCGGCGGCGUCAUCUCUAUUCGCCACCACAACAGCUGUGGAAACCUCCGCGCCACCGCCGACCUCGUCCGUGUCGCAGCGGGCCAGCACGCCCGCAGGGAGGCGAACAAAGUCUCCUGCUGCGCGGCGCGGCGCAUCGAGCGUGAGUUCGCCGUCCACCGUGCCGAAGCGCAGCGGCAGUGUUGGCCGCAUUACCUCCGUCAACCGCCCUAGCAUCUUCGGCUCGUCAACGCGGCAGCUGCAGCACACGACCACCGGUGGCGAAGACACCCCUCGCGCACAUGGGGGCAGCGCUGCCGCGUAUACCUCAACGGCGGUGGGAGUCGAGGCGACCAUGGCAGAUUUGUAUGCGCAGCAGGUGGCGAAGUACUGUGCCGCACACCUGCAGCCCUUUGUUGAAAACAUGAAAUCGGUUCAAGAGCAGCGUGCGGCCGUUACGUUGGCGCUGCAGUCGUUUGUGCGGGUUGCCCACGCCUCCCUCUCGGCGUCUGCAGCGGCGACCAACGCUUCUACAUCGACAGAGAAAAGCGGUGGUGAGGAGGCGGGGCGGCGCUCCGUCGUGUCCGUGCGCGGACAGCACCACGGUGGGCACAGCAACCGUGGGCUCGGCAGCGACAAGGGCGGCGCUAUGACCAGUACCACCAACUCAAGUACGAGUACCACCCCGCGCAAGCCAAGCAUCUCACGGAACAGCACGGCGUCGUCGCUGGCCAACACGGCAACGACCGCGACGGCGGGGCACAUGAGCAGACGCGCCUCCGCGGCGGCAGCAGCAGCGGCCAAAGCCGCCUCUCUCUCAGACGCGCUGCAGACGCUGCAGGCGGCUGUCAUCACGCUGCUGUGCACGCUCAGCGACGGCGUCGCCCUCGCCCAGGUGCAAGCAAGCAACGUUGUAUCGCCGGCGAAGAGUGUCGGCGGAGGCAGCGCAUCCCUCGGCUCGCAAGCGGCGCUCAUGGCGUCCGGCACGAUCACCAACGUCACGCCUUGCACCGCCUUUCACCCAGACGAGAGCACUAGCGGCUGCUUCGAUAAAGCAGCACCUCCGGCGGCGCAAGCCGGGUCGCCGGUGUUGACGUCGUCUGUCGGCAUGGCGGAAAAUCUCCUUCCGUCUCCGGCGCUCACCUUCCCGGGUGCUGGAAGCAUGCACGCGAGCCAGAGUCAGACCAGCGCCGUCGACUCCUCCACAACGGCGGCGGCAGCAGUUCGUGUUGACCCCACGGUGUCGGCCUGUGCUGCCCCUUCUCGCUUUGUGGAGUUUGUGCGUGCGCAGAGGCGAGAGGUCGCGGCGCAGCUCGACGAGCUGUGCGGUGCCGUCCGCCACGCCCUCGGCUCACCGGUGACGGCCCCGGAGGCUGCCAUUGCGCAGCGGCCGACGGUGAACAGUGCUGGUGGUGCCGCAGCGACGCCGGUGGUGUGGCUUGAGGCGUCGAACAUGCUGAACACGCCGUUCUUUGUGCCGACCAAGUGUCUGAGCAGCCUUGCCAUCGCCAUGGCAGGGCGGAGCAGCGACGACGCAGCCGCAGAGAAGGGCGCGGCGGUGAUCACCGAUGUCGAGGCUAUCGUCACAAGCCCGACCCUUGGCGCCGCUCUCAAAUCUUCCAAUGUAUUCGUCUUUCCGAAGUCCGCGAGCAGCGCCACGGGGAAUAAACUGAAGUCCUCGAAGCUCAGCAGCUGCGGCGGCGGGAGCAUGACGGGCCGCUCCUCAGUGAGCAGCACGCCGCGCGCGCGCGCCAACGGGAUGGCCAUGCCGUACGCGCCGUUCUUCACCUUUACCAUGGCAGCAGACGAUGACGAGGUAGGCGAUGGCGGCGUGGGAGACGAUCUGCAAGCGCGCUCCACCAGCGCGCGCAGCACGGAGGGCACUGCGGGCAACGCAUGUGUUUCCGUGGGGUGGUAUCUGCUCCGCUGCGCGCAACCCAGCGCAGCGGCAGCAGACGCCGCAGCGCACUCGCCCCGACUGGGCACGGAGAGUGAGCACACAAGCAGUCGGCAAAACUCCACCUUCAACUGGAGCACAACAGAACUGUCCAGCUCCUUAGGAAGCACCCAUGGUAGCGGUGCGGCCACGGUGAAUGUGAGGACCAAGCGCACGACUGGCAAGACCGGUGGCAAGCGAUCCGCAAGCGUCGGUGCAGGCAAGUCAGGUCGCACCGGUGGGGGCGGUAUCUACCAGUCUCGCCCAGCGUUCUCCACGUCGCAGAAGGCGCCAUCGACGGCUACACCGACCGGCCCAAACAAGCCUCGCAAAAAGCUCUCCACCGCGUCGCCGACGCAGCAAGGACCAGCUCAGCGGGAGAAGAACGAGCACCUGCAGCUGCAGCGCCAACUUGUCAAAGCCUGGACGCUAUGGACAGCGCUGCAGCCCCUCGCCGCAAAUCGGGAUGAUGUUGCCGGCGCGGGUGCCGAAGAGCCGCCGUCAUACUUGCCACAGCCGUCCUCGGCCUCGGCGAGCAUGAACGCGCCGGCCGUGGUCGGCGGGAGCCUCUGCGAUGGCGCCCUAGCCAAGGAGAACAAUACCUCGACGCCACCAAUCAUGUUAACACCAGCGGCAGCAGCGACGCCUGCCGCUGUCACAGCCAGCCCCACUCCGAAGGAGGCAAGUCCAGAGAGCGAGGACGGACCGAUUUCCGCGUGCCAGCUGUCAUUGGAGGCGGACGACGAGGAGGCCGUCCCAGGGGUGAACCCGCUGCAGAGCCCGCCGCCGCCCGGCACUCUUCAUCCACUCAGCAGCCACAACGAUGUCGGCCACUUGCACUUCGAGGAGCACAAGGAUGGCGAUGACGUGCCGUACCGUGAGUGCAGCUCCAUGCCUGUGCGCGUAGCGGGCAGCAUGCCGAGCCUGUCGAGCCCUCAAGGUGUGCCGCGGCGGCUGAGCAUGGACGACACAGCCCUCCUCACCCACAGCGACGGCGACUCAAAUCACGUCCUGAGCGCGAAGUCCAGCGCGGCCACGUUUCUGUACGCCUCCAUGGAGAUGCCACAGCCCACAGCGCCUCCGCAGAGCCCAGCUUCCUGUGUGUGCGAUGCGUCGUCAACGAGUGUAAGCGUCAUCGCGCCCACCCGCGCUGCAGCGACAGACACACACAUGGCAGCGGCGUGCCGGAUCGCCAUGUGGUGGGCCGUCCUGCGCGGCCACCGUCACGCCGUUGCGCAGCGUCGCACGGCACACCUGAUGGAGAAUGCUACGCAGCGGGAAAAGGUGCUAGCAGCGCGGCGCAACGCGUUUGUGCGGUCGUGGGUGUGUCGCUGGCGGAUGCGACGGUACAUGGAAGCGCGAAAGCAUCAGCAGGAGGCGCUCGCUUCAGUGGCGUCCACCGCGGCGGUGGCGACAGAGGAGGACGACUCGGAAAAGACGCGUCGUACCGCAGUUGGGAAGGACAAGGUGGCCGCUUCGACUACGACAACAGCCGUGUCCGCGUCACGUGAGCGCUUCCAGCGGGCGAAGGAGCAACGAAAGGCAGCCUUGGCGUCCGCUGCCGCCGUCACGUCGAGCACGGCAUGGCCGCCGUCGUCCCCUUCUAGCAGCAGCAGCGGCGGGGCAAAGGACGCCGCCUCGUCCAUGCCCAUCCGUAUUCCGCCGUUGCCACUCGCCGCCAGCGGCAUCUCUACCUUUGCCAUACGUGACUAUCACGGGGAGAGCAGCAGCUUCACCGUCUCGGCGAUGCACCGACUCCUGAACGCGCCGCCGUCGCUGCUGUACGCAACGUGCAUGGUGGCGCUGCGUUACCCUACCAAUGCGCCGAUGGCUUACCUCGACAACAGCGGCGGCGGCAGCGCAGCGAGCCAAUGCCUCAACGGCGGCGAGGAACGCCAGAAGAGUGAGGCGCCCCCGGCGAUGGAUGAGCGCUACGGGGGGAUGGCCGGCAGCGAUCAGCUCGAGCGCUGGCGCCGAUCGUGGCAGACGAUGCGUGGCAGCAGUGUCGCCCACCAGCUCGGCGGAAAUGAUUGCAACGACGAUGGCCAUGCUGGUGGCCCACUCACGGCGCGGCAGCGACGCUGGAUCGAAACGGGUCUGCUCUACAUCCGCUUUCUUCACCUGCGUCACUACGUGUGUGGCAAGUACGAGGCGCUCAUCCUCGCUAGUGGCGGGCGCGCCCUCGUCGAUGAAGUUCUCAGCAGCUCCAGCGGUCGCUACGGUUCGUCCUCGCUCGACGUCACCCUCAACUCGGCGACGCGCUCGUACCACGGCAGCGCUGGCGCAGCAGCGAAGACGGCGCUGCCUGUGCCCCUGACGAUGCGCUACGAGAGUAUCGUUGACCCGAACGAACUGCAGCACGCCAAGCCGGUCGUGAAGCCAUUCCACCGCCCGUUUGAGCAGUGGGGCAUGGCGUACAAUCUGACGUCGCGCGUGUUCUGCGCAGCGGCCAUCUACGCCUGGCAGCUCAUCUUCAGUCACACGCCCUUCGACGACGCGAAGCAGCGGGAGCUGCCGACGCGGGAGGAGCAGCAGGCGAGGCUGGAGCGCGUCGAGGACCGCAACGGCAUCAUCCUCGACUGCUACGGCGUGCGCAGCGAGCGGGAGUGGUUACGUGAGGCGACGAAGGACUUGUCCUUUGUGGGUCAAGUUUACCUUCCGAACUACGACCGGGACGACCCGGAGCAGCAACGGGAGAGCCGCGACAACUACGACUUCGUCAAGAAUUUUCUGUUCCAGUGCUUCCCAAGCAUCAACAAGCUGAUUGACAUCCCAGACUACCUUGUGGGGGCGGGCCUCUUCUUCGUGCUGAAGGAGGUGUUCCAUUACACAAAGGACUCCCCAUCCACGCAGCGGAUGCACGAGGUACUGCCGCGGCUGCUGGUCGUGGAAGGACAGGAUCACAUUGCUGCCGUUACCCCGGCUACCUCCGCGCUGGCGGGCGACGGCGCGGCUGCGGCGCGAGAGGAGAGCAGCGCCGCCGCCGCCGUAGCGCUAGAUCUGCCGGCGCGGGAUGCGACGCAACUCUCGCCGGUACCGCCUAGCGAGGUGACGCACGACGGCGAUGGUGUCAAGGGGCUGUCCGGCUGGCAGCGGGCCGCACUGCAGCGCUACGAGCAGCUGCGGCAGCUGCACCACCUCAGCUAUGGCAUAUUGGCUCAGGAAAAGGCUGCCGUUGCUGUCGGCAGUGGCGCCUGCGCAGGGGGGUCGCAGGACAAGGCGACGCGGUCGAAGCAGUACCAGCAGCAGAGGCGGUCUCGCUCGCCGGUGGCAUGGACGGCGUCGAUCGGAGGCGCAGCAAAGGACAGUGCGAAGGCAGCAGGCGGCCACGGCGGUGAUGACGGCAGCGACUUGGCCAACACCACGAGCGCGAAGACUGCGCUGGACGACGCCACCCUGCCCCUUCGUCGCUGUAUGGCGAACAGACCUGCCGGGUCGCUAACGCCGAUGCGGGCGACGCCGGGGUCGGCAGCCCUCGGCUCCUCUGUCUUCACCUCCCCUGCGGCCCUCCGCGAUGGGAUACUGGAGAAGAGUAAGAGCGGCGCCGGGGAACGGCGCGCUUCUUCCUCUGCUAUCGCGGCGCCGGCAAGGGACGCCUCCGUGCAGCUCGUGCGGGUUCCGCACCGCCUGUUGAGGCCCUCCGCUGCGGACGUGCAGUUUGUGCGCGACUUCGAGGAGGAGGUGAGCAAGUCGAUACACGGCAUCAUUCGGGCCUGGAACGGGAGCAGUGGCGGGGCAUUGCUGGACUUGUUCGAUGUGCGGGCGGCGUUGACGGCCGGCGCGGCCCUGCACGAUGCUCUCGACAUCGCGUACCCAAGACACUUCCUCGUGAAGCUGAGCGAGACGCUGUCGUAUGAGUUGUUUGGCUUGCAGCUGUCUCUAGGCAACUGUGAGGACUUGGACUCGAUGGGGCACUGAUGUGGGGUAAGUGGAGGGAGGCGGGGCAACAGCUCCUCUACUUAGACGCUGCACCAUCUGCGUGAGUGUGUGCGCGCGUUACCGAUUUUCUCUCCCCUCCCAGCUCGCUGACUCGCGAGGCGGCGGUAUCGGAUGCCGCACGCGCACAUCAAACCUGAGAUACGUUGCGCAUGCACGGCUACACCUACAAGCAUAUGCGCGAGUGCUCUACACAAGAUCACUCUGAUCGCCGACCCCGUCAAGCGCUCUGCCGCUGUUUCACUGUCAGUGGUGUGCUGCUGCGUUGGUAUGUGCGAGCCGGUGCAUAAUAGCGGCGCUUACGCACCACCACACACUUUUCACCUCUCUACCUCUUGCUUGCUCGCCCGGUACCUCGUCACGUGUUCUUUAG
rnacentral:misc_RNA from 1 species